rnacentral:rRNA from 1 species
AACGAACGCUGGCGGCAUGCCUAACACAUGCCAGUCGAACGAGACCUUCGGGUCUAGUGGCGCACGGGUGCGUAACGCGUGGGAACCUGCCCUUAGGUUCGGAAUAACUCCCCGAAAGGGGUGCUAAUACCGGAUAAUGUCUUCGGACCAAAGAUUUAUCGCCUUUGGAUGGGCCCGCGUUGGAUUAGCUAGUUGGUAGGGUAAAAGCCUACCAAGGCGACGAUCCAUAGCUGGUCUGAGAGGAUGAUCAGCCACACUGGGACUGAGACACGGCCCAGACUCCUACGGGAGGCAGCAGUGGGGAAUAUUGGACAAUGGGCGAAAGCCUGAUCCAGCAAUGCCGCGUGAGUGAUGAAGGCCUUAGGGUUGUAAAGCCCUUUUACCCGGGAUGAUAAUGACAGUACCGGGAGAAUAAGCUCCGGCUAACUCUGUG